AUGCCAGUCCCAGCCGCACUCGUUUUCGCACGAAAGUCUGUAGCAACUCCGGCCAUAUCCUUCUUGGUCAAUAAAUCUUUCACCUAUGUCAGCAAAUACUUCAAGUCUCCACACAUGGAUGAGGUGAAAAAUAAACUCGUGCUCGCCAUGCCCAAGAUCCAAGCAGUGUUCAAUGCCGUCAACCCCGAAUAUGUCAGAGGGCAGAGCAGCGCCCUGGAUGUGUGGCUGUGGCAGCUGAGGGACGCCGUCGAGGCGGCUAAGGAUGCCAUCGACGAGCUUGAAUACUAUGAGCUCGAGGAGAAGGCCAAUGAUCAAAAUAUUGCUGAAUGGGGUUCUUUGUUUGACAAGAUGAAGCACAAGUUUGUGAAAUCUGUUUAG
rnacentral:rRNA from 1 species